GUGAGAGAUGGUGGGAAAAUGGGUUGGUACACCAUCAAACUGGAAAACCCUACAAACCUUCCAACACAACUUUUAGAGUAUAGGCCAACGGUACUCAUAUGUCUCCACAAGCUUUAAGGUCCUCUCCCUGGGAAACUUGAAACUCAUUCCUAUGUAAAGGAUAGAAUGGCAGUUAGUUCUUACCCAUGGCACUACUUUCGAAACUGAUAUAGUCAUAAGCCCACCAAGCCCCUAGCCUAUGGACAACACUUGAAAUGAAAAGUCUUCGGCUUCUCUUUGAACGAAACUCUUCUCCCGCCAAAACCAAUUCUUCCUCCUCCUCAUUCAAGAAGCCAAAGGCAAAACCUCCCAUCUCUCAUGGCUCAUCAUCAUCUUCAUCUCAAGAUCCCCUCAAAACCCAUUUCGCCUCUCUCAUCCAAUCCUCCAAAACCACCCUCCAACUCCGCCAAAUCCACGCCCAAAUCUUCCGCCGCAACCUCUCUUCCAGCACCAACCUUACUAUCCUCCUAAUAUCCGCCUCUUCUUCCCUCAAAUCCAUCCCUUAUGCCAUCUCCCUUUUCAACCAUUUCCACCACAAAAGCAUAUUCCUUUUCAACGCCUUGAUCCGUGGCUUAACGGACAAUUCCCUUCACCAAUCCUCAAUUUCCCAUUUUCUUCUCAUGUUGAGCCUUAGAGUCCGCCCUGAUAAACUUACAUACCCUUUCGUGCUCAAAUCCAUCGCCGGUUUGGGUCUUCGCUGCCUUGGUUUGAUCCUUCAUGGAAGAAUAAUCAAAUCUGGGGUUGAGUUUGAUUCAUUCGUUCGCGUUGCACUAGUUGAAAUGUAUGUGAAACUCAAGGAAUUGGGUUUCGCGUUGCAGGUGUUUGAUGAAAGUCCUGAUAGAAACAAGAGUGGGAGUAUAUUGUUGUGGAAUGUGUUAAUUAAUGGUUACUGUAAAGAGGGGAAUUUGGGGAAAGCGAUGGAGCUUUUUGAGGCUAUGCCUGAAAGGAAUAUUGGGUCUUGGAAUAGUUUGAUAAAUGGGUUUAUGAGAAAUGGGGAUUUGGAUAAAGCAGUGGAGCUUUUUGAUGAAAUGAAGGAGAAGGAUGUGGUUUCUUGGACUACAAUGGUUAAUGGGUUUUUGCAGAAUGGAGAUCAUGAGAAGGCUUUAUCCAUGUUUUUUAAGAUGUUGGAGGCUGCCUUGAGGCCCAAUGAUCUUACUCUUGUUCCUGCUCUUUCUGCUUGUGCUAAAAUUGGUGCACUUGAAGCUGGAGCGCGUAUCCAUGCUUAUGUUUUGGAAAAUGGUUUUCGGUUGAAUAAAGCAAUUGGGGCUGCUUUGGUUGAUAUGUAUGCAAAGUGUGGGGACAUCCAGUCCGCAAGUAAGGUUUUUAAUGAGACAAAAGAGAGGGACAUUCUUACCUGGAGUGUCAUGAUAUGGGGUUGGGGAAUCCAUGGAUAUUAUGAUCAAGCUAUCCAAUGCUUCAAAACGAUGAUGUUUUCAGGAAUAAAACCUGAUGGUGUGGUCUUUCUUGCCCUCCUGACUGUAUGCUCACAUUCUGGGCUAGUAAAUCUUGGGCUUAACUUCUUUGACAGUAUGAGGCUUGACUAUUCUAUUGCGCCAACCAUGAAACAUUAUACAUUGGUUGUUGACUUGUUAGGCAGGGCAGGCCGGCUGGAUGAAUCGCUAAAGUUCAUCCAAAGGAUGCCAAUGAGUCCUGAUUUUGUGACAUGGGGAGCACUUUUUUGUGCUUGUAGGGCUCACAAAAAUAUUAAAAUGGCAGAACUAGUUGCACAGAAGCUCCUUGAGCUUGAACCUAAGCAUCCUGGGAGCUAUGUUUUCUUGUCAAAUGUUUAUGCUGCAGUUGGGAGGUGGGAAGAUGUGGAGAGAGUCAGAAUGUUAAUGCAGAACCGAGCCGUCGAUAAAGAUCCAGGGUGGAGUUAUAUUGAAGUUGGCGGAGAAGUGCAUAGUUUUGUAGCUGGUGAUCAUGCUCAUAAGCAUGCAAGAGAGAUAUACCUGAAAUUAGAGGAAAUAGUGGCUGGUACAAGACAACAUGGAUACAUGCCUGAAACUGGGUGGGUACUUCAUAACAUUGAGGAAGAAGAGAAGGAAGAUGCAUUGGGAAGUCACAGUGAGAAACUGGCGCUUGCUUUUGCUUUAAUCCGCACUUCUCCGGGAACAACCAUCAGGAUAGUAAAGAACUUAAGAGUAUGUGGGGAUUGCCAUUCUCUGAUGAAAUAUGCUAGUAAGAUGAGCCAAAGAGAGAUAGUAUUGAGAGAUAUAAAGCGAUUCCAUCAUUUCAAGGAUGGGGCCUGCUCAUGUGGAGAUUAUUGGUGAAAUGGUACUUCAGAAUGACUCAAAUUGUAUGUGAGCAAGAUUCAAGAAUUAAGGCUUGAAUUCGGAAGGACAGGUUAUCUCAUGUUAUAAAAGGUCCUCCAAAAGGUUUAAACAUUGACAAGGUUCAACCAUGAGUGGCCCACCAAAACAUGCUUGGCCAAACACACACCAAUUAUAUGUCUGAUUCCACAACUGUGAAUGUAAACUGGGGUAUAUCGUAAAUCUAACUCUACUCAGAUAAAAAAGUCAUCUAUCUAGAUUGGUCCCUAAUCUUUUAAGUGAAGGAUAGGGGGAGAUUUUGGGUUAAAUGCUCUUCUUAAUCUGUUCUUGAGAAUAGAUGACACCAAUUCUGAAGAUAACACAGUCCUUCUAAUAGGUGACCCCAUCCUCUAAUAUGCCUUGUGGAAGGAAGUACUGUUGCAACUUAACCAUCAGUAACUUCCCCUACCAAUGAGCCUUGGAUCAUGUCACAUCUUUGCUAUGGUGAAAUUCAGGCAAACCUGUUUGGUAGGUUAAGUAAGACAAUCCUCUUAAGUUUCCAAGGGGUUAAAGCACACAGAAAUCGGAAACAACAUUUUAAGGGUUAGAAAUGAAAUAAGGAAGCUUGUGAAAGACUGCUUACCAAAAGUGAAACAACGGUUUGAUGAUCCCAAUCCUGUCAGUUUACCAGAGCAUUACAGCAUGAAAAAUGGACUUUUUUCAACUAUAUUCCAGACCAACAAGAUUGUAGGAAUCUCACUGAAGCUGAUGGGAAUCAUUCAUAUGGAACUAGAGCAGAACCAAAGUCCAAACCAAUGAAUACAAUCUUGUGCAUCAUCAAAGGCCCCAAAAACCCAAACAAAAGAACAUAGAUUUUCACAUUGAAACUUUGGAUGCAUAUCCAUUCAAGAAUGCCCCACCUUCUCCCUUAAACAAUGUAAUAAUAUAGAAUCUGAUGACUAAAAAGGUUGCAUUAUCAAAAACCACAAUCCGA